rnacentral:lncRNA from 1 species
UGGGGGUGAGGAGUAAAUUUAAUGCACCUGGAUACUACUAGUAUGCAAUUAAUGUAUUCGUCCUGGGUUUGAUGUUGAAUACUCCUAAUAUAGAACAUGCCUUUCCACACGAGGUCAUAACACAAUCAUGUUUUCUGAUUUUUCAAAGGACAUUUUGUUGAAGGCAAUGUUGUGCCUCUAGCAGUGGCCAUGAUCACGUGUUCUCUGUUGCCUCAAAGUAAAACCAAGUCCUUGUCGUUGUCGACCUGACAUGCCUUCCUCUUUUCAUUUCCG